GACAGAGGCCUCAAGCGUUAGGCGGAAUCACUGGGCGUAAAGCGUGCGCAGGCGGUUCGUUGUGUCCGUCGUGAAAGCCCCGGGCUUAACCUGGGAACUGCGAUGGAAACUAGCGAGCUGGAGUGUGGCAGAGGGGGGUGGAAUUCCGCGUGUAGCAGUGAAAUGCGUAGAGAUGCGGAGGAACACCGAUGGCGAAGGCAGCCCCCCUGGGCUAACACUGACGCUCAGGCACGAAAGCGUGGGGAGCAAACAGG
rnacentral:rRNA from 1 species